GGUGUGACUGCGUACCUUUUGUAUAAUGGGUCAGCGACUUAUAUUCUGUAGCAAGGUUAACCGUAUAGGGGAGCCGCAGGGAAACCGAGUCUUAACUGGGCGUUAAGUUGCAGGGUAUAGACCCGAAACCCGGUGAUCUAGCCAUGGGCAGGUUGAAGGUUGGGUAACACUAACUGGAGGACCGAACCGACUAAUGUUGAAAAAUUAGCGGAUGACUUGUGGCUGGGGGUGAAAGGCCAAUCAAACCGGGAGAUAGCUGGUUCUCCCCGAAAGCUAUUUAGGUAGCGCCUCGUGAAUUCAUCUUCGGGGGUAGAGCACUGUUUCGGCUAGGGGGUCAUCCCGACUUACCAACCCGAUGCAAACUACGAAUACCGAAGAAUGUUAUCACGGGAGACACACGGCGGGUGCUAACGUCCGUCGUGAAGAGGG
rnacentral:rRNA from 1 species